rnacentral:rRNA from 1 species
GUGGUCAAGCGUUUAAGGGCACGUGGUGGAUGCCUAGGCGCUGGAGGCCGAAGAAGGGCGUGGCAAGGCUGCGAAAAGCCUCGGUUAGCUGCCUAGCGAGCUUAGCCGGGGAUUCCCGAAUGGGGCAACCCGUCCCGGUGAUAAGCCGGGACACCCCCGCUUCAGCGGGGGAGGGAACCGGGGGAACCGAAACAUCCAAGUACCCCGAGGAAAAGAGACUAUUCCCCUAGUAGUGGCGAGCGAACGGGGAAGAGCCUAAACCGGGCGGGAAGGCAACGGCCCACGGGCCAAUGCCCGCCCGGGGUUGCGGGACACAGGCGGGGCCGGCCGUGGCAGGCCCGGGGAGUUACCAAGCUCCACCCU